CAGGAGACGUGGAGGAGGCCGUAGGAGGGCAACAACCCAGCAGCAGGACCGCUACCUCCGCCUUUGUGCAAGGAGGAACAGGAGGAGCACUGCCAGAGCCCUGCAAAAUGACCUCCAGCAGGCCACAAAUGUGCAUGUGUCUGCUCAAACGGUCAGAAACAGACUCCAUGAAGGUGGUAUGAGGACCCGAUGUCCACAGGUGGGGGUUGUGCUUACAGCCCAACACCGUGCAGGACGUUUGGCAUUUGCCAGAGAACACCAAGAUUGGCAAAUUCACCACUGGCGCCCUGUGCUCUUCACAGAUGAAAGCAGGUUCACACUGAGCACAUGUGACAGACGUGACAGAGUCUGGAGACGCCGUGGAGAACAUUCUGCUGCCUGCAACAUCCUCCAGCAUGACCGGUUUGGCAAUGGGUCAGUAAUGGUGCGGGUGGCAUUUAUUUGGGGGGCCGCACAGCCCUCCAUGUGCUCGCUAGAGGUAGCCUGACUGCCGUUAGGUACCGAGAUGAGAUCCUCAGACCCCUUGUGAGACCAUAUGCUGGUGCGGUUGACCCUAAAGAAAUGCCACCCCACACCAUUACUGACCCACUGCCAAACCAAACCAUUCUCCAUGCUCCAUGGUCCAGUCCUGACGCUCACGUCCCCAUUGAAGGCACUUUUGGCGGUGGACAGGGGUCAUCAUGGGCACUCUAACCAACUACGCAUCCUAAUACGCAGCAAACAUUGAUGCACAGUGUGUUCAGUCAGCUUUCUAUCAUGGUUAGCAUUAACUCUUUUGUGUGAUCGGACCAAACAGGCUAGCCUUCGCUCCCCAUGUGCAUCAAUAAACCUUGCGCAUCCAUGACCCUGACACCGGUUCACCAGUUAUCCUUCCUUGCACCACUUUUGGUAGGUACUAAUCACUGCAUAAAGGGAACUCCUGGCAAGACUUGCCAUUUAUGAGAUGCAGUGACCCAGCUGUCUAGCCAUUACUAUUUGGCCCUUGUCAUUCAGAUCUUUUCACUUGCCCAUUUUUCUGCUUCAAACACAAGAAAUUCAAGAUCUGACUGUUGCUGCCUAAUAUAUCCACCCCAUGACAGGUGCCAUUGUAACAAUAUAAUCAAUGUAUUCACUUCACUUGUCAGUGUUUUAAAUGUUGUGGCUGGUCAGUGUAUGCAUAGAUUCUUUUACACAUCAUGAAACAUUUUAUUUAAAGCUCUCUAUAUAUUUUUCACAUGUAUAAUGUUGGUGAAGAGAUUCCAUAAUUUGAUGAAAACGGUAACAUUCUGGAUGUGCGAAAAUUUACAAAUAUAAUUUCUCAUCUGAACACUGAGUGACAUUUUUUUUUCUUCAAC